AUUGAACGCUGGCGGCAGGCCUAACACAUGCAAGUCGAACGAGUGGCGGACGGGUGAGUAAUGUCUGGGAAACUGCCUGAUGGCGGGGGAUAACUACUGGAACCGGUAGCUAAUACCGCAUACCAUCGGAUGUGCCCAGAUGGGAUUAGCUAGUAGGUGGGGUAAAGGCUCACCUAGGCGACGAUCCCUAGCUGGUCUGAGAGGAUGACGGGCAAGGCUGGAACAUGUGCACGGUCCAGACGCCAACGGGAGGCAGCAGUGGGGAAUAGUGCACAAUGGGCGCAAGCCGGAUGUAGCCAUGCCGCUUGGAGGAAGAAGGCCUUGGGGUUGUAGAGUACUUUCAGCGGAGAGGCGUUACCCGCAGAAGAAGCGCCGGCUAACUCCGUGCCAGCCGCCGGGGUAAUAG
rnacentral:rRNA from 1 species